UAUAACAAAGCGAAUCAACGCAUUCAAGGAUACAUUUCAAUUUCAGAGAAACUUGAGGACACUCAAUCAUAUCACAUAGUGGAUAUAUAAGGAAGGAUCUGUAUAUACAAAUGUAACAUUGCCACUCAUUUCAAUAUUAAGCACGAGCAACUUGGAUACUAACAAUACUCCCUAUUUACUACUGCUCCUAAAUAUAAGCUUGCCUAGACAUGAUCAAACAGUUGGUCUGCAUUCCUGUUCCGCGAUCAUCUUUACAGAGGAACACAUCAUUUGGUUUCCAAAUCAUUAAAAAAAACAUCAAUAAUUCUCCUGGAUCUAAUUAUAACACAAAAUCAUAAAACUAAUUAAGUCUCAUCAACAGAAUUCAAAGAAGGCAUUUCAAUUUCCUCAUUAAAAUAAGCUACACCAUCAUAAACUCAAAUACAUUAAGGGAUUAUCGAAGAAGUAAAUGGAUUACCUCAAAAAGGACAAGGAUAAGCGAUUUGGAUCAAAUAAAGGCCAGAAAAAUGAAGAUGAAGCUGAGCAACUUAUUACGGCAGAAACAGCAAAAUCACAGCUUACACUAGCUUAAGACGAAAGUGAAUCUUUUAUAGAUCCAAGGAAAAGGAAUUAGAACUUUGAAAAUUCAGCAAUCAAUUACUUCCCAAAUCUUGUUCGAAAUCGCAGUUUUCUAUGUGUAUCUAUGUGUGUGUAUCCAUGAAUCCAAAUGAGAGUGAGGUCCCUCCUAUUGCGUGAGAAUCCGAGAGGUGGGGGUGGCUGCUAAGUCCUUUUUUUUUGUAAAGGGGAAGAUAGGUUUUCUAAGAGAGGGGGAGAUCUGUUCUUCGUUGUUAGAGUGAGGGCUCUGAAAUCAGAGAUGGGGGUAGCUGCAAUAUCCGGGAGUGAAGAAAAAGAUUGGCAACGCUAGGUUUUUAGAAAAUGGGGGAGAGUUUUCGUCCGUCUCUGUUGUGGUUUUUUGCCUCUAAGCAGAGAGUGAAAUUAGGGUCUCCUCUAAUAGAGUGGGG
rnacentral:lncRNA from 1 species